UGAGGAAUAUUGGUCAAUGGGCGGGAGCCUGAACCAGCCAAGCCGCGUGAGGGAAGAAGGCCCUAUGGGUCGUAAACCUCUUUUGUCAGGGAACAAAAGCGAGUAUGUAUACUAGUCUGAGUGUACCUGAAGAAAAAGGCAUCGGCUAACUCCGUGCCAGCAGCCGCGGUAAUACGGAGGAUGCGAGCGUUAUCCGGAUUUAUUGGGUUUAAAGGGUGCGUAGGCGGCGAUGCAAGUCAGCGGUAAAAGCCCGGGGCUCAACCCCGGCGAGCCGUUGAAACUGCAGUGCUAGAGAAGGCGAGAGGUACGCGGAAUGCGCAGUGUAGCGGUGAAAUGCUUAGAUAUUGCGCAGAACUCCGAUUGCGAAGGCAGCGUACUGGCGCCUGACUGACGCUGAGGCACGAAAGCGUGGGGGAUCGAGCAGGAUUAGAUACC
rnacentral:rRNA from 1 species